rnacentral:rRNA from 1 species
AGUGAACGCUGGCGGUAGGCCUAACACACGCAAGUCGAACGGCAGCACAGUAAGAGCUUGCUCUUACGGGUGGCGAGUGGCGGACGGGUGAGGAAUACAUCGGAAUCUACUUUUUCGUGGGGGAUAACGUAGGGAAACUUACGCUAAUACCGCAUACGACCUACGGGUGAAAGCAGGGGAUCUUCGGACCUUGCGCGAUUGAAUUAGCCGAUGUCGGAUUAGCUAGUUGGCGGGGUAAAGGCCCACCAAGGCGACGAUCCGUAGCUGGUCUGAGAGGAUGAUCAGCCACACUGGAACUGAGACACGGUCCAGACUCCUACGGGAGGCAGCAGUGGGGAAUAUUGGACAAUGGGCGCAAGCCUGAUCCAGCCAUACCGCGUGGGUGAAGAAGGCCUUCGGGUCGUAAAGCCCUUUUGUUGGGAAAGAAAAGCAGCAGGUUAAUACCCCGCUGUUCUGACGGUACCCAAAGAAUAAGCACCGGCUAACUUCGUG